rnacentral:piRNA from 1 species
UGGGCUCUGAUGAUGACAGGUAGUCUUGGU